GGCAGUGCCGGUGACAUAUCAAUUAGAUGUCCGCCCCAUCAAUUGUUGACGGUAAGGUAGUGGCUUACCGUGGUUACAACGGGUAACGGGGAAUCAGGGUUCGAUUCCGGAGAGGGAGCAUGAGAAAUGGCUGCCAGAUCUAUGGAUUGCAGCAGGUGCGAAAAUUAUCCACUUUUGGCAUAAAGAGAUAGUGAUGAUAAAUAACGGAUCUGGGCAUUUGUUCAGAGAUCGUAAUGAAAUAAUCGUAAAAGCUUUAAUGAACGCAAUUGGAGGGCAAGUCUGGUGCCAGCAGCCGCGGCAAUUCCAGUUCCAAUAGUGUAUACUAAAGUUGCUGCAGUUGAAAAGCUCGUAGUUGGAUCUCGGCUUGCUAGCGCGCGAGGCGUGUGAGUAGGCCUUUGCUGUAGUUGAGUGCUACGGCUUUACCUUGAACAAAAUAGAGUGCUUAAGGCAAGCAUUCUGCUUGAAUAUCUCAGCAUGGAAUAAUAGAAAAAGACUUUUCUGUUGGUUUACCAGUAGUAAAAGUAAUGAUUAACAGAGACAGACGGGGGCAUUCGUAUCGCACCGCUAGAGGUGAAAUUCGUAGAUCGGUGCGGGACGAACUACAGCGAAAGCAUUUGCCAAGGAUGUUUUCAUUAAUCAAGAACGAAAGUUGGAGUAUCGAAGUCGAUUAGAUCUCGUCGUAGUUCCAACUAUAAACGAUGCCAACUAGCACUCCGCUAAUAAGUAUUAGUACGUUAGCGGGUUGCUUCCGGGAAACCAAAGUCUUUGGGCUCCGGGGGAAGUAUGGUUGCAAAGCUGAAACUUAAAGGAAUUGACGGAAGGGCACCACCAGGAGUGGAGCCUGCGGCUCAAUUUGACUCAACACAGAAAAACUCACCCGGGCCGAACACAGUAAGGAUUGACAGACUGAUAGCUUUUUCUUGAUACUGUGGGUAGUGGUGCAUGGCCGUUGUUGGUUGGUGGAGUGAUCUGUCUGGUUAAUUCCGAUAACGAA
rnacentral:rRNA from 1 species